rnacentral:rRNA from 1 species
UACGUAGGGGGCAAGCGUUGUCCGGAUUUAUUGGGCGUAAAGAGCGUGUAGGCGGUUUGGUAGGUCCGCUGUGAAAACUCGAGCUCAACCUCGAGACGCCGGUGGAAACCAUCAGACUAGAGUCCGGAAGAGGAGAGUGGAAUUCCUGGUGUAGCGGUGAAAUGCGCAGAUAUCAGGAAGAACACCCGUGGCUAAGGCGGCUCUCUAGUACGGUACUGGACGCUGAGACGCGAAA